UACGGGGGGAGCAAGCGUUGUUCGGAUUUACUGGGCGUAAAGGGCGCGUAGGCGGCGUAACAAGUCACUUGUGAAAUCUCCGGGCUUAACCCGGAGCGGCCAAGUGAUACUGUUGUGCUAGAGUCCGGAAGAGGAGAAUGGAAUUCCCGGUGUAGCGGUGAAAUGCGCAGAUAUCGGGAAGAACACCCGUGGCGAAGGCGGUUCUCUGGGACGGUACUGACGCUGAGACGCGAAAGCGUGGGGAGCGAACAGG
rnacentral:rRNA from 1 species